AUUGAACGCUGGCGGCAGGCUUAACACAUGCAAGUCGAGCGAGCGGCGGACGGGUGAGUAAUGUCUGGGAAACUGCCUGAUGGAGGGGGAUAACUACUGGAAACGGUAGCUAAUACCGCUUACCAUCAGCUGUGCCCAGAUGGGAUUAGCUAGUCGGUGGGGUAAUGGGUCACCUAGGCGACGAUCCCUAGCUGGUCUGAGAGUCUGACCAGCCACGCGGGAACUGAGACCCGGUCCAGACUCCUACGGGAGGCAGCAGUGGGGAAUAUUGCGCAAUGGGCGCAAGCCUGAUGCAGCCAUGCCGCGUGUGUGAAGAAGGCCUUCGGGUUGUAAAGCACGUUCAGCGAGGAGGCGUUACUCGCAGAAGAAGCACCGGCUAACUCCGUGCCAGCAGCCGCGGUAAUUC
rnacentral:rRNA from 1 species